AGUGAACGCUGGCGGCAGGCCUAACACAUGCAAGUCGAACGGCAGCACAGUAAGAGUUUGCUCUUACGGGUGGCGACUGGCGGACGGGUGAGGAAUACAUCGGAAUCUACUUUUUCGUGGGGGAUAACGUAGGGAAACUUACGCUAAUACCGCAUACGAUCUACGGGUGAAAGCAGGGGAUCUUCGGACCUUGCGCGUUUGAAUGAGCCGAUGUCGGAUUAGCUAGUUGGCGGGGUAAAGGCCCACCAAGGCGACGAUCCGUAGCUGGUCUGAGAGGAUGAUCGGCCACACUGGAACUGAGACACGGUCCAGACUCCUACGGGAGGCAGCAGUGGGGAAUAUUGGACAAUGGGCGAAAGCCUGAUCCAGCAAUACCGCGUGGGUGAAGAAGGCCUUCGGGUUGUAAAGCCCUUUUGUUGGGGAAGAAAAGCAGCAGGUUAAUACCCCGAUGUUCUGACGGUACCCAACGAAUAAGCACCGGCUAACUUCGUG
rnacentral:rRNA from 1 species